rnacentral:lncRNA from 1 species
GUGCACUCAAAGUUGUCCACAAAGAAAUUGCAAGCCCCUAAUAUAUUAAUCUUCGUUCUCCCUAUGGCCUCACUCCUAAUCACAGAUAUAUGGGAAGGUUUUUUCUCCAUGAAAUAAGAUCCUUGUACUCUAGAAAUUUGAGAUCUUCAAAGAUAUUUUCUCUCGCAAAACAUAUUCAAAAGUGUUACCUUACAGAUGUUAUAUCAAAAAAAUCAAUAUAAACGAUCAUUAUUGAUGCCACCAAAAAUCUGCACUAUAUGAUUAUCGAGCUUGACGAUUGAAGAUGAUCACCAACUAAAUCUUAGGUACCAAAAACAAAGGCAUCGAGGAUCAUCUCUCGGAUGCUUAAGUUAGCAAAAAAAAUUAUACGAAAGGCUAUAAG